AGAAGGAAAGGACAGAGCCGGAGUGUGGGGAGGCAGCCUGUCCAGCUGGCCUUCCACAGCUCUGCCACCGACAAGGCCUGGGACACUCCACGUCUGUCCAGUACCCUGUGUUAUGGUCCAGUACCUUCCAGCUGUCAUCUGAGACCUGACCUAGGCAAAGAGGGACAACUGGGAAAGCUCCAUGUGUCCCAGGAGCAGGUACAGCUCCCUGGAAGGCCCAGGUCACAAGAUGGGAAGAAAACCCCAGCAGAACUUGUGAAUCAGCUCAAACCACACCAUCGCCUCCACGGCUCCUGAAGCCCUCGUGGUUGCACCUGCUCGCCCACCCCAUGCUCCAGGCCCAUCUGACGGAGGAGGGCCUGGGCCGCUCACACCACGUUCAACGUGGCCAGUGCCUGGUCAGCAAGUCUGUUUUCACGAAUGCUUGCUGGGAAAUGCAAGUGAGAUUUGGGUAUCCUGACUGCCUCCUGGAAGGGAUUGCUUUGUUUGACACAUGUUCAGAACUCAGGCUGAAACCACUGGACCCCUCAACGCGAGGCCGGACCAGCCCGGGGCCACCCGGGGCAGGAGCGUCCUGGGAACAGGACCCUGAGCCAACCAUACCCGAGGCUGCCUGACCCUGGCUUUGGACGCCACCCACGCUGGCAGCCUGAGUCCUGGAGGCUGAGUUACUGCAGGAGGACCGAGUGUGGGAGGAACUGAACUAAUUCCCAUCCACCCAAGUUAGCCACAGUCCUGUGACAGCAGCACCUUCUCCCAACCUGAACACCGCCCUUCUCCCUCCUCCUGGUCACCGAAUCAGCGACUGCACCCAGUCCCAUGACAGCAGCACCUUCUCCCAACCUGAACACCACCCUUCUCCCUCCUCCUGGUCACCGAAUCAGCGACUGCACCCAGCCCACGUGACAGCAGCACCUUCUCCCAACCUGAACACCGCCCUUCUCCCUCCUCCUGGCCACCGAAUCAGCGACUGCACCCAGCCCACGUGACAGCAGCACCUUCUCCCAACCCGAAUGCCACCCUUCUCCCUCCUCCUGGUCACCGAAUCAGUGACUGCACCCAGCCCACGUGACAGCAGCACCUUCUCCCAACCUGAACGCCACCCUUCUCCCUCCUCCUGGUCACCGAAUCAGCGACUGCACCCAGCCCACGUGACAGCAGCACCUUCUCCCAACCUGAACGCCACCCUUCUCCCUCCUCCUGGUCACCGAAUCAGCGACUGCACCCAGCCCACGUGACAGCAGCACCUUCUCCCAACCCAAACGCCGCCCUUCUCCCUCCUCCUGGCCACCAAAUCAGCGACUGCACACAGCCCACGUGAGAGCUGCUGAUUUUGGUUUAUGGAGGCAGAAACCCAGGCCAGGCUUUCCAAACUCAGUUCUGUCCAAAUGGUACCCUUGUGUUUAUGCUCUAGAGAGAGUCCUUUCUGAUCCCUACCGACCCAAAGACUUGCAUGGAAAUUAUACUGAAUAAAACCCACUGGCCACCCAGA